rnacentral:lncRNA from 1 species
AUAUAUAUAUAUAUAUAUAUAUAUGUAUGUAUGUAUGUAUGUAUGUAUGUAUGUAUGUAUGUAUGUAUGUAUGUAUGUAUGUAUGUAUGUAUGUAUGUAUGUAUGUAUGUAUGUAUGUAUGUAUGUAUGUAUCUUUGUUUGUAUAUAUAUAUGUAUAUUUCCACACACUUUCUCUCCCUCCCUUCCUCUCUCUCUCUCUCUAUCUCUACACACACACACAUACUUAAUUUGCUAUAAUUCUAACUUAAUUGUUUUAUUCAGUAAACGUGUUAGUGCUCGUUAAGUAGUAUACGUGUCAGUGCUCGUUCAAUAUAUAUAAAUGUUAAUGAUAGGAUUUUUGGAGCCUUCUAUAAAUAAAAUCUUUAAAGUUUUAUAUUAUUUGUUUACACACACAAACAUUGAUAAUAAUUGUAUCACCCAGAGCUGCGGAAAGUACAGGCCCUGGAGUUUGUCCACUAAUGGCAAUAGCAAAUUUCUUAUAGUAGUCAAUAUAUUUGUAACUGUAUGAAAUUGCACAUGUUAAGUUGUGAUAGGGAUGGCAAAAUCCUCCACGGGUUUGGGGCUUCAUAGAACCCCACCUCAAAUGGGGAAAAUUUUAAAUAAUUUUUGGAAAAUUUGGG